rnacentral:rRNA from 1 species
AUAACGUGCCCUAGAGUGGAGGAUAAUCUCGGGAAAUUGAGGAUAAUACUCCAUAGAUCAUGAAUUCUGGAACGACUCAUGGUCAAAAGUUCCGGCGCUCUAGGAUCGGUCUGCGGCCUAUCAGGUAGUAGUGGGUGUAACGGACCCACUAGCCGACGACGGGUAUGGUUUUUGAGAGAGGGAGCCCAGAGAUGGAAUCUGAGACACGAUUCCAGGCCCUACGGGGCGCAGCAGUCUUUUAAACUUCACUUUUGAGGCAACUCCGAUGAGGGAAUUCCAAGUGCUAGGCACAUUAGUGUUAGCUUUUCUUAAGCAUAGAUAACUUAAGGAAUAAGGGCUGGGUAAGACGGGUGCCAGCCGCCGCGGUAAUACCCGCAGCCCAAGUGGUGGUCGAUUUUAUUGAGUCUAAAACGUUCGUAGCCGGUUCAUUAAAUCCUUGGGUAAAUCGGAUGGCUUACCAUCGAUUCUGGGAGACUGCUGACUUGGGACGGAGAGCAGAGGUACUUUUGGGGUAGGGUUAAAAUCUGUAUUCUAAAGACACCGGUGGCGAAGCGUCUUUGUCUGAACGAUCCAACGGAGGAGACAAAAACCCGGGUGCCACGGAUAGAAUACCGUGAAUUCUCACAGGGGUUACCUGCCAACUUUGUGUGUGUUGCAACCUCUCCGGUUCUCUGCUCCCGAACGGGUUAUC